rnacentral:rRNA from 1 species
UUUACUACAGAAAAUGACUGAGCGGCGAACGGGUGAGUAACGCGUGAGCAAUCUACCUUAGUUACAGGGAUAGCCCGAGGAAACUCGGAUUAAUACCUGAUAUUCUUUAUAUUUCGCAUGAAAUUAAAAGGAAAGGUCAGCCGAACUAAGAUGAGCUCGCGUUCUAUCAGCUAGUUGGUGAGGUAAAAGCUCACCAAGGCUACGACGGAUAGCUGGUCUGAGAGGACGAUCAGCCACACUGGGACUGAGACACGGCCCAGACUCCUACGGGAGGCUGCAGCAGGGAAUAUUGCGCAAUGAGCGAAAGCUUGACGCAGCGACACCGCGUGUGGGAUGACGGAUCUAGGUUUGUAAACCACUUUCAGGAGGGAAGAAAAUGACGGUACCUCCACAAGAAGCCCCGGCCAACUACGUGCCAGCAGCCGCGGUAAUACGUAGGGGGCGAGCGUUGUCCGGAUUUAUUGGGCGUAAAGAGCUCGUAGGCGGUUCAACAAGUCGGUCGUGAAAGUUCAGGGCUCAACCCUGAAAUGUCGAUCGAUACUGUUGUGACUAGGAUACGGUAGAGGUGAGUGGAAUUCCGAGUGUAGCGGUGAAAUGCGUAGAUAUUCGGAGGAACACCAAUUGCGAAGGCAGCUCACUGGGCCGCUAUC